UACGAAGGGGGCUAGCGUUGCUCGGAAUCACUGGGCGUAAAGCGCACGUAGGCGGAUCCUUAAGUCGGGGGUGAAAUCCUGGAGCUCAACUCCAGAACUGCCUUCGAUACUGAGGAUCUCGAGUCCGGGAGAGGUGAGUGGAACUGCGAGUGUAGAGGUGAAAUUCGUAGAUAUUCGCAAGAACACCAGUGGCGAAGGCGGCUCACUGGCCCGGUACUGACGCUGAGGUGCGAAAGCGUGGGAAGCAAACAGG
rnacentral:rRNA from 1 species